AUGGGCGACUUCAACCAGAUUUACCGAGCGCGAGAUAAAAAUAACAGGAACAUCAAUCGCAGCCACCUCAACCGCUUCCGUGCUACACUAGACACUUGUGAACUAAAAGAGAUCCACCUCCAGAACAGACGCUUCACUUGGAGUAACGAGCGUCAAAACCCUACUCUGUGCAAGCUGGACUCGGUUUUCUGCAACGCCGACUGGGACAUGCAUUUUGAUUCUCAUGUGCUUCACGCCAUUUCUUCUUCGCUAUCAGACCAUUGCCCCCUUCUCCUUGCUGAUGACAGGGGACCGAAGAGACCAAGAUGCUUCAGAUUUGAGAAUUUCUGGUCCUGUAUCCCAGGAUUUUUUGACACCGUGUCCAAGGCUUGGGAGGAGCCGUGUGCCCACACGGAGCCAUACCAACGGCUUUUCCAUAAGCUCAAGCAAACGGGGCGUCAUUUGUCUAAAUGGAGUAACAGACUCUUCUCCAAGGCAAAGUUGCAUCUUCAUGCAGCCCUCUCGUCAUCCUUCGUCUUGACGUUGCCCAAGAGACGCGCGUCCUUUCGGUGGGAGAAAGGAAACUUCGGGCUCGACUCAAGCGUCGUGUUGUCAGCCUGGCAGCGGUUGAGAGGGCGCACAAAAAGCAAUGUGCUCGCAUUGCUAACAUCAAGGAAGGAGACGCCAAUACCAAAUUUUUCCACCUCAGGGUCAACUCAAGGCGAAGAAAGAAUCACAUCCACAGGCUCAAGAAGAAUUCUGGAUGGAUCACGGACCAUGAGGAAAAAGAGGAAAUUAUCCAUGACCACUUUGCGAGCAGUCUGGGAGGGGGACAACCCAGAUCGAUGGAUCUAA
rnacentral:rRNA from 1 species